GGAGGGGGCUAGCGUUGUUCGGAAUUACUGGGCGUAAAGGGCGCGUAGGCGGUAUGCCAUGUCAGGGGUGAAAGGCCUGGGCUCAACCCAGGAACUGCCUUUGAAACUGGCAAACUAGAGUCCGAUAGAGGAUGGCGGAAUUCCCAGUGUAGAGGUGAAAUUCGUAGAUAUUGGGAAGAACACCAGUGGCGAAGGCGGCCAUCUGGAUCGGCACUGACGCUGAGGCGCGAAAGCGUGGGGAGCAAACAGGGAUUAGAUACCCUGGUAGUCCACGCCGUAAACGAUGUGUGCUAGACGUUGGGGGCCCUAGGCCCCUGGGUGUCGCAGCUAACGCAUUAAGCACACCGCCUGGGGAGUACGGCCGCAAGGUUA
rnacentral:rRNA from 1 species